rnacentral:lncRNA from 1 species
GACUGAUAUCGGAAAACUGUCUUUGAAAUUACAAAUCACAACUGAUUAAAAAAAAAAAAAAGAAAGAAAAGAAAAGGAAAGAAAAAAGAAAAGAAAGAAUGGAAGAACAAGUCCAGGAUACACAAUCACUAUGACAUGUGGCCCCUGCCUGGGAGAAGAGCCAGAGCAUGUGAAGAUUAAGAAGUAGGCUGGUAAUUCAAUCCUAGAAGGAAAUUGAAAUAUUAAAGAAGCAAUCUAUUGCUGCAAUCACAUCAGACUUGGCUCUUCCAAUGGCAAUGAGAAGCUCCAUCACGGGGGGAAAUGGACCUAGGGAAAGCUUCCUGAAUAAAGUGGCAUUUCAAUUGAACAUCGAUGGAUCAAGUGCGAAGGGAGUUGGAGACAGCUUGGGGACUGAAAAGUAUUCCAAGGAUUACGGAGGAUGAGAAGUUCCACGAUCUACCAUCUGCAAGCUGGAGACCCAGGAAAGCUGCUGGUGUAAUUCAGUCUGAAUCUGAAGGCCUGAGAACCAGAGGAGCUGAUGAUGUAAAUCCCAGACUGAGGGGGAGGAGAAGAUGAGAUGAGAUGUCCCAGCUCAUACUGUGAGGCAGGAAAAAAAGGGGCAAAUUCCUCUUUCCUCCUCCUUUUGUUCUAUUCCGUCCCUCAGUGGGUUGGAUGAUGCCCACUUGCAUUGGGGAGGGCCGUCUGCUUUACUGAGUCCACCAAUUCAAAUGCUAAUCUUCUCCAGAAACACUCUCACAAGCACACCCAGAAAUAAUGUUUAAUCUGGGCAUCCCAUGGCUUGUCAAGUUACAUAUAAAAUUAACCAUCAUAGUGCCUAGCAUAGGUGGGUUGGGGGCUCUAUCGCACAUCACUGUAAGCCCAAAGUUGAUGCUGCACCUGUCACAUGGAAUGAUGCAGUCCACUUGGCAGAGGGAAAGAGAAUGUGGUGAAUCACAAACUGUCUCUUAGAGUUUUGCGUGUCUCUUCAGGUCCAAUAGCGUUGGCCAAUCAAGUCACCCAGCCACACUUACCAUAAGCGGAGUCGGCAAAUGUCAGUUCAAUGUCUUUCUACCAUGCUUAGAAGAAGAGAAGUUUGAAACUCUAAUGAUUGCUCAACAUACCACAUCUAAUUGCUUGAGAGGAGCAGUCUAGAGCACCAUAUUGGGAGGUCUUGAGUAUCCAUCUUCACUUAUCAAGAAAAACUAUGAUUAGUCAGCAUUAUCUGUAAUGCUAGAGACAGGACAGUUGAACUAUAUGAACGCGGUAGUUUCUUCUCCUGGAUGGCCAGCAGCAUACGACUUUGGUACUUUUAAGAAGCAUCAGAUCUCCAUGGAGAUUUCUACAAGUACAGAUGCUAGAGUCUUUUUCCUAAAGUUCAACAUUAUUCUCUCUUUCUAAUUUUAUCUGUCAGAUAUGCUCCACCAGAACUAAAGGAGACUUUGGCAAUAAUUUUCUAGUCCCAGCAGUGAGAAAAGAAUACUAAACUUGUUAUAAAUAUGAAUUCUGUUAACUAGUGAAGAGUUCUCUGUUUUAUGGCAGAGAAAGGAGAUCGAUGGCUUGGACUAAUUGUCCCUCCAGGCCAGAUAUGGCAUAUAAGAUUUCAUCUCAUAUAAUAACUCUGAUUGCUUGGAUGGGUCUUCCUAGAGUACUGUGUGGGCUGGAUACAGAGGCUGCAUCAGAGCUCAUCAUCAAAAGCAUGCAAUGAUUGAUCAACAAUGUCUUCCAUCGGUGCGGGAAGGGUAAUACUGGAACACAUGCCAGCUAUGUGUCUUUUCUAUUCCAGAUAAUCACUUCCCACCCAUCUGCCCCUGGUUUUGAGAUUACGUUCUGAG